GGGAAAACAAGUCUGCUUCUAGGAGCACGAAGAAGACGGGUCCUUGACUCGGGAACAGAAGCCACGAGACACCAAGACGAGAAGAAUCAGAGAAACUGUUGGUCCCUGCAGGGACUGGAAGGUUAGAAGGAAGGAGGUGUUGGAUGGCGUGCUGGGAAGAAGAGCCUGAAGGUCCAGCAGUGGUUCAGUUGUUCAGAAGAGCCUGAAGGUCCAGCAGUGGUUCAGAUGUUCAGAAGAAGAGCCUGAAGGUCCAGCAGUGGUUCAGAUGUUCAGAAGAAGAGCCUGAAGGUCCAGCAGUGGUUCAGUUGUUCAGAAGAAGAGCCUGAAGGUCCAGCAGUGGUUCAGAUGUUCAGAAGAGCCUGAAGGUCCAGCAGUGGUUCAGAUGUUCAGAAGAAGAGCCUGAAGGUCCA
ensembl:lncRNA